UUUUGUUUAUUCACAAUCCAAAAUUUGGACCUUAAAAUUCAUUAAUAGAUUGCUUUUAGAUUAGAAUAUGAAAUUGGAAGAUGGUAGACGACUUAACGGACAAGAAUUACUCUUUGGAAACAUUUUGGACAUUAUAAUAAAGGGCUCUGAAUCCAAAUACUUCUUGAUUUGCGUGAUAAACUUCAUGAAGGUUUGAAUCAUCAACAGACCAGCCUAAGCUGGCAAAUUUAUUAACAGUUGGCAAUAACAAGGGCUCAAUUGAAUCUUUCAAAACAUUAUUAAGAACUUCCAAAUCUUUGGUUGUUCUUUGAGAUGAAGGACUUGUGAGCCAUACAGAGCAACGAGUCGAUACCAAAUCGUGAAGUGUCGGAAUCCACGAUGAAGAAUAAAGUGGAUGACUUAUAAGAGGCAUCGGAAGAAAAAAAGUAUCAUAGUAGGGGUCAAAAGGCUCAAAGGCUCCAACUCUAUGCAAAUUGUGGUAGUAAUCCUGAUGAAAAUGAAGGCUGAGUGGGGAAGGCAAAUUGGGUUGCUUAGAAGGAACAACAACUUCAGGUCCGAUAAAAUGCAAUUGAAAUAAACGACCUGGGAACAAAAAGUUCAAUCCUUGUAACCAAAUUGAUGGUGGUAAUGAACAUUCUUUGGUAGCACCCAAAACGAAAAUUCUAGUGGGUCUGGGAUCAGUAGAUUGAGCAGACAAAGGACGAUGAAGCAUAUAUCGUAGAGCAGUUAAUGAUUGUAGACCCUGGGGAGUUAACCCAUUUUUUAAAUUAUAAGGAGAAUUCUUGUGAAGGAUAGCGCCGAUUGACAUGGGAUAUGUUAAUAAACUAGUAAUAUGUCUAGCAGUUCUAGACGAUUGGAACUUUGGGAAAUCGCGGGUAUAGAAGAAUGAAUCCCAUGACAGAAGAGAAACUACUUCAUCUUCUUCCAUGGGUCCAGGAAGUUUGAGUAGUUCCGGCAAAGGGUUUGGUCGUGCUAAGUCAUGAUAGUCUUCAUUAAUUUGGCGUAGUUUUGGGAUAAGGGAUUGGUGAAUCUUGUCCUGUUCCCAAUGAGUUCUAUUACAAUGAGUAGGAAAUCCAGAUUCAGGACACUCAUAUUCCACUGACUUUCCCGAAAUUGGACACCGAUAGACUUGUUUGAUAUGCUCAGAGCGACGGCGAAGAGCCGUUAAGGGAGAACGCGAUAAAGGAUGGAAUAAUUCAUGAGUUGGGGAUUUCUUCUUGAAGAGAUUUUUUAAAAACGACAUAAGUAAAAAAAAUAUAAGCGAAACGUCACUCUUGAACCAAAAAACAACCUUCUACCGGUUUCAAUGUAACUAUAGGUAAUGAAAUAAAUUUUUAUGUCGGUGUUGCAGCUAAAUUUAACAAGUAUUGAUUUAGGUGAACGUGUUUAGUAGCAGACGAAGAAACUAAAAUUAAAAAUGUCAAGGAACAUAAAAAAUACGUUAACA